rnacentral:rRNA from 1 species
CUACGGGUUGCUCCAGUGGGGAAUAUUGCACAAUGGACGAAAGUCUGAUGCAGCAAUACCGCGUGAUUGAAGAAGGCCUUAGGGUUGUAAAGAUCUUUUUUCAAGGAUGAUAGUGACAGUACUUGAAGAAUAAGGACCGGCUAACUUCGUGCCAGCACCCGCGGUAAUACGAGGGGUCCAAGCGUUACUCGGAUUUACUGGGCGUAAAGUGCGCGUAGGCUGAUUGAAAAGUCAAAAGUUAAAUCCCUGGGCUCAACCUAGGAAUCGCUUUUGAAACUUUCAUUCUAGAGUUUGGUAGAGAGAAGUGGAAUUCCUAGUGGAGGGGUAAAAUCCGUAGAUAUUAGGAGGAACACCGGAGGCGGAGGCGACUUCUUGGGCCAAUACUGACGCUGAGGCGCGAAGGCGUGGGGAGCAAACGGGAUUAGAUACCCUCGUAGUC